CACAAGCUUGGUAGAAUUAGCUCAUUUUCCUUUUUCUACACAAUGACAUCUGUCCAACAGCAGAAGUUGUCAUGAUUAAGAAAAUGUCAAGGUUGGAGUACAAUGAAUCUCCUUUGCCGUCAUUAAAAAUAUGUACUAUGGAAUUAGGGAGAUAUAUGAGUCUGCAUGCUGCUGAGAAUGGCCUUUGAACAUGAUGAGUAAAGUGACGACCAGAAUCAGGGG